rnacentral:lncRNA from 1 species
GACUAUGCCAUGGCCCAUCCACUGGUAUUGUAACUAUGUCCUUACCCCAUCUCCAGGAAGGAAUGCACAAGGUGUAUCCUAGGAAAGAUUUCCUCCUAACCUUUACAAAGCCUCCAUGAUAACUUGCUGACACACUUUCACUAUCAAGUACCUAUAACAGUAUCUUUCUUGAGAACAAAAGGAACUCUUUUCUGGAGUCUGUAAGGGAAGAAUGCUUUUCUAACACAUCUACUUUUUCUAUUGAGUGUUCGCAAUUUGUCAGACACAAGCGAAAGACACAUAUUGUACUUUAAAAAAAAAGAAAAAAAAAGAGGCAUUGUCUGCUCCUUCACAGAGCCUAUAUUUUAGUGGGGGAAUUACUGAUUUCAGGAAAUGCAAGUAAAAUGAACAGAAGGAAAUCCACACUUGGAAACAUUAUAAUAAUAUUGAAGAAAACCUAGGACAGAGAGAAAAAGCUAAUAGUAGCCAAAGAGAAAAGAAAGAUGACUUACAGAGUUUGCAACACUAUAAAGAGUAUAAACAACCAGCAGAAUAAUAUCCUCCAAGUUCCAAGAAAGGAGGAAAACAUCCUGUCAAUUUAGAGUUAGAUAC